UACGGAGGGUGCAAGCGUUAAUCGGAAUUACUGGGCGUAAAGCGCACGCAGGCGGUCUGUCAAGUCGGAUGUGAAAUCCCCGGGCUCAACCCGGGAACUGCAUUCGAAACUGGCAGGCUAGAGUCUUGUAGAGGGGGGUAGAAUUCCAGGUGUAGCGGUGAAAUGCGUAGAGAUCUGGAGGAAUACCGGUGGCGAAGGCGGCCCCCUGGACAAAGACUGACGCUCAGGUGCGAAAGCGUGGGGAGCAAACAGG
rnacentral:rRNA from 1 species